CAAUAAUAAAAUAAUAAUAAAAAGAAAAGAAGAAGAAGAGAGAGAAAAUAAUUAAAAAAAAUGUGGGACCCACUGAAUUUUUAUAAAAACUCACCUGUUCCUUCAUUUCUUCAUUCCUUCUUUCGUGCGUGAGCUUCGGCAGAGAGAGCAUCUGUGAGCCAAAUUCACCGGUGCUGGGUUUUAAGAUUGUAUUACUGGUGAAGAUUGUGGUGAGAGAGAAAUUUUAAGGAAUAAUUUAUUGAAAAAGCCACAAGGAGAAGAGCCAAGAGUGACACGUGGAGGAGUCCCAGAGACUUAGUGGUAUAGAUCCACUGUCUCUUUUGGGUAUUUAAUUUAUGAUUUAUAAUGUGUUAUAUUGUCAAUAUUAGGACUUUUUUUAUGUUUAUUGUCAAUUAUAUGAAUAUAUAAAUGUAAUCAUGCCUUUCAAACUAUUUCUAUUUUUGGUACAAUUUGGAUGACUGUAAUUUUAAUAUUUGGUUUACUUUGGAUUGGUUAAAAUGGCAUGAUUAUAAGGCCAAAUAACUGGCUUGUGUUGAAAA